rnacentral:misc_RNA from 1 species
ACCGAGGAAGGUGAUUAUCAAACCAAGCUGCGUAACCUCAAGCGAUUUCUGGAGCAAGGGAACAAGGCGAAGGUAACCCUCUGGUUUCGGGGGCGGGAAAUGGCGCAUCAGAAUCUGGGCAUGCAACUUCUAAAGCGAAUAGAAGCGGACCUGGAAGAGUUUGGCAAUGUCGAGCAAUUCCCUAAGCUGGAAGGGCGGCGUUUGUCCAUGGUGCUGUCUCCGAAAAAAUAACCCUACCCAAUAAUCCGCCCUGGUGAAUCUUCGCCUUCGCGAAGGUGAGCGGGAAAUAAGUGAAUCGAUGGACGUCGC